rnacentral:rRNA from 1 species
GACGAACGCUGGCGGCGUGCUUAACACAUGCAAGUCGAACGGAAAGGCCCUGCUUUUGUGGGGUGCUCGAGUGGCGAACGGGUGAGUAACACGUGAGUAACCUGCCCUUGACUUUGGGAUAACUUCAGGAAACUGGUGCUAAUACCGGAUAGGAGCUCCUGCUGCAUGGUGGGGGUUGGAAAGUUUCGGCGGUUGGGGAUGGACUCGCGGCUUAUCAGCUUGUUGGUGGGGUAGUGGCUUACCAAGGCUUUGACGGGUAGCCGGCCUGAGAGGGUGACCGGCCACAUUGGGACUGAGAUACGGCCCAGACUCCUACGGGAGGCAGCAGUGGGGAAUAUUGCACAAUGGGCGGAAGCCUGAUGCAGCAACGCCGCGUGCGGGAUGACGGCCUUCGGGUUGUAAACCGCUUUCGCCUGUGACGAAGCGUGAGUGAUGGUAAUGGGUAAAGAAGCACCGGCUAACUACGUG